UAAUGAAACGACCGAGGGUGAUCCAACUUGUACCUUUGAAUAUCCUUUGGUGGUGCAGCACAAAUCAUGUAGAAACAGUGAUAAUUUCUCUCUGGAUCAGAAACUUGGCAAACACGAGAUCUUUCCAGUAAAUAUGUUCUGAUAGCGGCUCCUGAAAUCCUUCCUCUCUGGUCAAACUGGAUCUCCACAAACUUGCCAAAUCGACUUGAG
rnacentral:misc_RNA from 1 species